rnacentral:rRNA from 1 species
UAAGCCAUGUGAGUCGAGAGGGUUCGGCCCUCGGCAGACUGCUCAGUAACACGUGGAUAACCUACCCUAAGGUGGGGGAUAAUCUCGGAAAACUGAGGAUAAUACCCCAUAGACCUAGAUGACUGGAAUGUCUUUAGGUUAAAAACUACGGUGCCCUAGGAUGGGUCUGCGGCCUAUCAGGUUGUAGUUAGUGUAAAGGACUAACUAGCCGACGACGGGUACGGGCCAUGGGAGUGGUAGCCCGGAGAUGGACUCUGAGACACGAGUCCAGGCCCUACGGGGCGCAGCAGGCGCGAAAACUUUGCAAUGCGCGAAAGCGCGACAAGGGGAUUCCAAGUGCAUGCACUAAGUGUAUGCUUUUCGUGAGUGUAAAAAGCUCAUUGAAUAAGGGCUGGGUAAGACUGGUGCCAGCCGCCGCGGUAAUACCAGCGGCCCUAGUGGUGAUCGUUAUUAUUGGGCCUAAAGCGUCCGUAGCCGGUUCGGUAAAUCUCUGGGUAAAUCGUUGGGCUUAACUCAACGAAUUCUGGGGAGACUGCCGAACUUGGGACCGGGAGAGGUCGGAGGUACUCCAGGGGUAGGGGUGAAAUCCUGUAAUCCUUGGGGGACCACCGGUGGCGAAGGCGUCCGACCAGAACGGGUCCGACGGUAAGGGACGAAGCCCUGGGGCGCGAACCGGAUUAGAUACCCGGGUAGUCCAGGGUGUAAACGCUGUGCGCUUGGUGUUUGGGGGUCCACGAGGGCACCCAGUGCCCGAAAGAAGUUGUUUAGCGC